AUUCGGCUGACGAGUCCCAAACAAGACGUAACGCGCGUCCUGGAU
rfam:Schistosoma mattheei strain Denwood, Zambia genome assembly, scaffold: SMTD_scaffold0005031